rnacentral:rRNA from 1 species
UACGUAGGGGACGAGCGUUGUCCGGAGUUACUGGGCGUAAAGCGCCCGCAGGCGGUCCGCUCAGUUUGCGCUGACAGCUCCUGGCUUAACUGGGAGAGCGGUGCGAAGACGGGCGGACUGAGAGGACCAGAGAGGGACAUGGAACUCCGGGUGUAGUGGUGAAAUGCGUAGAUAUCCGGAAGAACACCAAAGGCGAAGGCAGUGUCCUGGCUGGUACCUGACGCUGAGGGGCGAAAGCUAGGGGAGCAAACGGG